rnacentral:rRNA from 1 species
AAAGGUUAAGAGGAGAGCUUAGCGCAAGCGAAGGUUUGAAUUGAAGCCCCAGUAAACGGCGGCCGUAACUAUAACGGUCCUAAGGUAGCGAAAUUCCUUGUCGGGUAAGUUCCGACCUGCACGAAAGGUGUAAUGAUUUGGGCACUGUCUCAACGAGAGACUCGGUGAAAUUAUAAUACCCGUGAAGAUGCGGGUUACCCGCGACAGGACGGAAAGACCCCAU